CACGACAAUAUCAGCAUGCUGCUAGGGGAAGAACAAAGUAGAUUCACUAAUCCUGGCCACUUCCGAAGCUAUCACGUUUCUCAUGCUGCCACCCAAAGCCCGGUGAACCAUCAUGGCUAGCCUCACCAUAGUACGAUCUGCCUCGUUGAAGCUGUGAUAAGUGGGUUGGAGGCAUAGGUGGCGGCGGCGGCGGUGGCGGUGGCGGUGGCGGAAGGGACAUGGGUUGUGGGGCUAUCAUUACCUUGCCUUCCCUCGGGUCCACAAAAUUUCCACCCUGCCCAUGUUCCAUCCC
rnacentral:lncRNA from 1 species